CUAAGGGAAGCAGUCUUUCCAAUGUGCUCAAUGUCAUUGCCUGUCCAGGAGUGCUCCUAUUGUCAGUAGUUUCAACAAACUCAGAUUGCAUCUCCCCGCUCACCCCGGGCUGUUGCUAUGCUUGCCAGCCUAUGGUCUAAACUACAUCUGCUCCUGCUUCAGCUGGCUGCCUGGUGACUCUGACAGUCUGUCCUUCUUAAACAAGAGGCUUUUAUUAAUAAAAACAGCUAUAACUAAAGGCAAAAAAAGGGCUUUCUUUGGUUACUAGGGAGCACACCCUAUCUGGAACCUUGUACAGCACCACAUAGCUAGUGGCUGAAUAACAUGCUGUGAUUAAACAUAUCACAGUACUGUUGAGCAACAGAUACCUUACCCAGCAAAGCAUCCUUAGUCCCCAGAGGAAUAAGAUGACAUAUGGAAAGUGUUCUUUUAAGCUAGAAGACUGCCUCCCAGAAACGAAUCUGCCCACUCUGACAGCUCGAUUGAGGGUGAUUGAUGACUAUCUGGAGACCACAGUACACAUAAUACAAUAUCUGCUGCGUAAUUGCUUUAAUUUACAGAUGAAAAUACUAGUUCUAGGAUUGGGUUAGACUAUAACAAGCGGUGUCCUACGGCAUCGUAAAUAGUUCCCAAAUAACAAAUAGAUACAGUACAUGCAAAUUAUUCAGACAGUUUAGUGUCUGUAGCCGGGAGAAAUGCGUAAAGAACAGGAGUCAAAUGACAUUAAUAAUUGUUUUUGAAUUCCGUAUUGAUUUCUUGGGAGAGUGUGUUUAUUCCUUUCUCACCUGCAAUGCUAAUAUCACCUUCUUUCUGUGAAUAAUAAUAAACUAGCCAUUGGGGCUUAUGCUACAA